UAAACUGAAAACAGCAAUAAUGUUCAGCAAAGUAAGAUCUACAAAUAAGUCAACAUGAUCAAAAUUGUAAGAGGACCCCUUAAGGAGUUAUUGCCCUUUAUAGUCAAUAUUGAACAACUUUUCGUCAUUUUUGUAACUUGUACAAAAAUCUUCUUAUCUAAAAGUAUGGGCCAAAUUUAACCAAACUUGGCCACAAUCAUUACUAGGGUAUCUAUUUAAAAAAGUGUCAAAUGACCCCACCUACCAACCAAGAUGAUUGACAUCAGUAAAUACAGUAACAGGUGAGCGACACAGGCUCUUGAGAGCCUCUAGUUCAUAAAUCUUAGUAAUCUUUUACAAAAAUCUUCUCCUCUGAAACUACUGGGCCAAAUUAAUCCAAACUUGGCCACAAUCAUCUUUGGG
rnacentral:lncRNA from 1 species